UACGUAGGUGGCAAGCGUUGUCCGGAAUUAUUGGGCGUAAAGCGCGCGCAGGCGGUCCUUUAAGUCUGAUGUGAAAGCCCACGGCUCAACCGUGGAGGGUCAUUGGAAACUGGGGGACUUGAGUGCAGGAGAGAAGAGUGGAAUUCCACGUGUAGCGGUGAAAUGCGUAGAGAUGUGGAGGAACACCAGUGGCGAAGGCGACUCUUUGGCCUGUAACUGACGCUGAGGCGCGGAAAGCGUGGGGAGCAA
rnacentral:rRNA from 1 species